rnacentral:rRNA from 1 species
AUUGAACGCUGGCGGCAUGCCUUACACAUGCAAGUCGAACGGUAACGGGCCUUCGGGUGCCGACGAGUGGCGAACGGGUGAGUAAUGUAUCGGAACGUACCUUUCAGUGGGGGAUAGCGUAGCGAAAGUUACGCUAAUACCGUAUAUUCUAUGUGCAGGAAAGCAGGGGAUCGCAAGACCUUGCGCUGAUUGAGCGGCCGAUAUCAGAUUAGCUAGUUGGUGAGGUAAAGGCUCACCAAGGCGACGAUCUGUAGCGGGUCUGAGAGGAUGAUCCGCCACACGGGAACUGAGGCACGGGCCAGACUCCGACGGGAGGCAGCAGUGGGGAAUUUUGGACGAUGGGGGCAACCCUGAUCCAGCCAUGCCGCGUGAGUGAAGAAGGCCUUCGGGUUGUAAAGCUCUUUCGGCCGGGAAGAAAUCGUAUCAGCUAAUACCUGAUGCGGAUGACGGUACCGGCAUAAGAAGCACCGGCUAACUACGUGCCAGCCGUCGCGGUAAGAC